rnacentral:misc_RNA from 1 species
GUAGGUGAACCUGCGGAAGGAUCAUUAACAAAGUUGGGGAAUCUCUUACAGAGGCUCCCCCUUUCUUAAAAAAACCCCAAAUAUUUUAAACGUGAACAGAAAAAGAAAAGUGGUGCUUUGUUUGUUAAUUUAACAAAUAUCCCCCCCUUUUCUUUUUUCCCCCUCUACCCUAUUUUUUUUUAAAUAAACCCCCAAAAAAAUUUACAGUCUUUUAACUUGGACUGUUCCUUUUUUUAUAUUUUUAUUUUAUAUAACUAAAAAGCUUUUUUCUUUUUUGAAAAGGAGAAAAUACUACGAAAUGCUGAACAACUCUUAACAACGGAUAUCUUGGUUCUC